AAGGAAGAAAAGACAGGGGCAGCAAACAGACUGAGAGGAAUGAAGUUUUCCAUACCCCCAGAUGGGGAAAUCAAGACUGACAGCUGUUAUGUAACUUGUUCAAGGCAUUCAGCAUUCUUUAAGGAUGGACUCUUCGAGGUGCCUGUGUACCUGGUCCAGUGCCUCUGAGCCUCACACAGAUGCAGCCCCCCUCUCCCAAGGCCUCCUUGGUACCGUGUAUGCCUCUGUGUAGAACCUAAUUCAUUCUACCAGACACCAAAUCAGUGUCUUCCCAGUCCAAGACCCCUUCCUGAAGUCCUAGAAGGAGAAAAGUGUUCCUGUGCAGACUGAGAACGAGACCCCUGUCUUUGCACCACCCAGUACUUGGCACGCGGUUGCCAUCAAAGUGAAUGUGGUCAAGUAUAACUGACGUUGUCUUAGCAUAUGGAAGCUGGAGAAUGGGGAGGGAUAGGAAAUGUGGGUCUGAAACACACUACGAAUGCCUGAAUAAAGGUGUAGACCAGGGUCUGUCUACACCUGAUUGUGAUUGCUUGCUUACACACAA